GGUUCCGUAGUUUAGUGGUUAUCAUGUUCGCUUCACACGCGAGAGUUCUCUGGUUCGAUCCCGGAUUGAACCA